rnacentral:rRNA from 1 species
GCCCUCUGGGUUGUAAACUGCUUUUACACGGGAAAAAACGCAUCUACGUGUAGGUGAUUGACGGUACCGUAAGAAUAAGGACCGGCUAACUUCGUGCCACCACCCGCGGUAAUACGAAGGAUCCAAGCGUUGCCCGAAUUCAUUGGGUUUAAAGGGACCCUAGGCGGACUAAUAAUUCAGGGGUGAAAGCCUUCCCCUUAACUCAAGAAUUGCCAUUGAAACUGUUAGGCUCGACUACAGUUGAGGUGGCUGGAAUGUAACUUGUAGCGUUGAAAUGCAUAGAUAUGUCACAAAACACCAAUUGCGAAGGCAGCUCACUAACCUGUAACUGACCCUGAGGCUCGAAAGGGUGGGGAUCAAACAGGAUUAGAUACCCUGGUAGUCCACGCCCUAAACAAUGAAUACUCGACGCUGGCGAGAAACUUUCAGGGCCCAAGCGAAACCGUUAAGUAUUCCACCUGGGAAGUACGCUCGCACGAAUGAACCUCAAAGGAUUUGACGG